rnacentral:piRNA from 1 species
UGUUAGCAUUGAUUACUGGGGACAA